CUAGAUAACUCUUCAUUUCUCUUUAAGCAUUAGUCUCACUUUAUUACUCCUAUUACUCACUGCACUUAUAUGCUGACAACCAUAGGUUCUCUUAUGGCAGCAUAUCAUCCUUAUUAUACAGAGCUCAAUUCAUUGAAGUUAUUUUGCCAAGUCAUGCAAUGAUAUCUUGACAUUUCCAUUCAUAGUAUAUAUAUUUUGAGUCCUAAAAUUAAUACUGUGGAAAAUCCCUAAAAACAGUAUAGCAUAAAUAGAUGUAUUUAACUGGGAAGGGUGGUAAUAUUAGGUACUGGAGGACCAAAAUUUAGAUUAUAAAUGGAAAGUUGUUAUUUUAUAUUAGAGUGAAUCAGUAUUACUAUUUAUCAUUUAUAUAGCAUUUUAUAUUUGCAAAGUAUUUAAUAAUUUUUGUUAUUCUUUACAUAUCUAUGAAAUAGGACAGUUAUCCCACAUGAAAGGUAAGGAAAUUAAGACACAGAAAUUAAGCAGCCUACCUAAGACAACCCAGUGAAACUGGAAUUAGAAUGAUCCAAUUUUUGAAUCCUGGAAUAUCAGCUUAAUUCACUGAGAUGUGUUGUUCAUUACUCUAUUUUAUUAGAUGACUUUAUACAAGUAACAGCCAAUUGUUUUAAAGCUGACAUCAUUAUAUGUGGAUAAAUCCUAUACAGAAUAAAUAUUAUGUAAAGUA